rnacentral:rRNA from 1 species
GUAGGGGGCAAGCGUUAUCCGGAUUUACUGGGUGUAAAGGGAGCGUAGACGGCGCUGCAAGUCCGGAGUGAAAGCCCAUGGCUUAACCAUGGUACUGCUCUGGAAACUGUGGAGCUUGAGUGCGGGAGGGGCAGGCGGAAUUCCUAGUGUAGCGGUGAAAUGCGUAGAUAUUAGGAGGAACACCGGCGGCGAAGGCGGCCUGCUGGACCGUAACUGACGUUGAGGCUCGAAAGCGUGGGGAGCAAA